rnacentral:rRNA from 1 species
GACGAACGCUGGCGGCGUGCUUAACACAUGCAAGUCGAACGGAAAGGCCCUGCUUGCAGGGUACUCGAGUGGCGAACGGGUGAGUAACACGUGGGUGAUCUGCCCUGCACUUCGGGAUAAGCCUGGGAAACUGGGUCUAAUACCGGAUAGGAGCCAUUUUUAGUGUGAUGGUUGGAAAGUUUUUUCGGUGUAGGAUGAGCUCGCGGCCUAUCAGCUUGUUGGUGGGGUACUGGCCUACCAAGGCGGCGACGGGUAGCCGGCCUGAGAGGGUGGACGGCCACAUUGGGACUGAGAUACGGCCCAGACUCCUACGGGAGGCAGCAGUGGGGAAUAUUGCACAAUGGGCGCAAGCCUGAUGCAGCGACGCCGCGUGGGGGAUGACGGCCUUCGGGUUGUAAACUCCUUUCGCUAGGGACGAAGCUUUUUGUGACGGUACCUAGAUAAGAAGCACCGGCUAACUACGUG